rnacentral:rRNA from 1 species
GAUGAACGCUGACAGAAUGCUUAACACAUGCAAGUCUACUUGAACUUCGGUUUGGGUGGCGGACGGGUGAGUAACGCGUAAAGAACUUGCCUCACAGUUAGGGACAACAUUUGGAAACGAAUGCUAAUACCUGAUAUUAUGAUUUUAGGGCAUCCUAGGAUUAUGAAAGCUAUAUGUGCUGUGAGAGAGCUUUGCGUCCCAUUAGCUAGUUGGAGAGGUAACGGCUCACCAAGGCGAUGAUGGGUAGCCGGCCUGAGAGGGUGAACGGCCACAAGGGGACUGAGACACGGCCCUUACUCCUACGGGAGGCAGCAGUGGGGAAUAUUGGACAAUGGACCAAAAGUCUGAUCCAGCAAUUCUGUGUGCACGAUGACGUUUUUCGGAAUGUAAAGUGCUUUCAGUUGGGAAGAAAAAAAUGACGGUACCAACAGAAGAAGUGACGGCUAAAUACGUGC